UGCACCUUUCUGAGAUGUGAUCAGGUGAUAUGGCAAGGUGUGAAACUUGAUUGUUUAGACAAUUGGUUGUCGGGAUAUUAAAUCGGAUGGAUGUGUAGUUCACCUGCUUAGCUGAUACACCAUGCCCAACCGCUGAAGUUCACAUAUAUCCGUCUGAAUUGUGGAUCGUCAUCUCGGCCAUUGAUGUUAAUAAAAAGAUAAGUGGUAUCAUUUUUAAAGGUCAAACAUGACGUUAGACAGUUUUGCUUAAAGAGAUAAUUGUGAUGUGCGAUUGUUGUUGACUUCCUUUGGAAAGCAUAACUGCUGUUGGUAAGCAGACAGACAACACUGUCCAUUCGACUUGAUUUAAACAUUGUUGGCGCUAAAACUUGGGCAAGGCUCCUCAGUUUACAGCGAGGGACACACUUUUUUGCCCGCAAGCGUAAACACACUGACGUGGGUCGAUGGUGCAAAAGCGAGUCCGAGUCAGCGUAAACAGUGUUAAACGCCUUAGCUCUGAAAAUCAAGUCUUUAGAAUCGAUAGCGGGUUCGCUCUGUUUUCAAAUAGCAGUACUGUUUACCAAAGGCAGAAAGUAAUGUCUUGCAUCAUCUUAUCUCUUUUUUCAGUGCUGCAGUAUAACGUAAAUUCUGACAUUUUGUUGCAUAUGUACGUAUUCUAAUUUACAUAUAUAUGCUAAUACGUGUUUACGUUAUUUAUCUGCAACUAAUUUUUAAAAGAAUAUAGUACAUGGUCAUUUGGUCCACUUUACAAUUUAAUCAAUAUAUUUGAACAAAAAAUAUUGGCGAUGUAUUCAUUGUCUGUAUCCAAUAUAUGUCGUGAUGGUAUCUCUAACAUAUGUUUGUUUAACAGCUGUCCGUGCAUUGGGAUACGAGCAUGAACUCUACAUGGGCACCGAGAAACCAUGACCAACCGCUGAAUGUCACCUAUACCCGACUGAAGUCAGUUUCCAGUUCUUGUCAGAUGGGACACUAACACGAUCCUGUUCCACUGCUGAAGACGUAUGGCGCAACGUUUACGGAUGCCAUGAAGAUUGCUCAAUUUAGACGUUCCGUGGAGGCUGAACAUCGUUGCAUAUUAAAGAAAUUGGAGCGACUGAAUACUCUUUUUUUAUAUUUAUGUAAAGAUUAACUACAUGGGCGUUUGCAGUUUUCGUGGCCGGUCGAUUGGCCUACGUUAAAAAGUCGAACUUAAUGUCCUGUGGCUGUAAAUAAUAUUAAAAACGUUCAAAGGGCGAACAACUGAAGUGCGUUCAGCGCUUUGAUAAGUUGAUGCAACAAGUAUACGCAGCUGGUUCUGUCUGAUCGAACAUGGCAAGUAUGUCUUACGAUUCG